rnacentral:rRNA from 1 species
GUAGGGAAUAUUGGGCAAUGGAGGAAACUCUGACCCAGCCAUGCCGCGUGAAGGAUGAAGGUCCUACGGAUUGUAAACUUCUUUUAUUAGGGAAGAAACCCUCGCAUUCAUGUGAGGCUGACGGUACCUAAGGAAUAAGCACCGGCUAACUCCGUGCCAGCAGCCGCGGUAAUACGGAGGGUGCAAGCGUUAUCCGGAUUCACUGGGUUUAAAGGGUGCGUAGGCGGAAUGAUAAGUCAGUGGUGAAAGCCCCGAGCUCAACUUGGGAAUUGCCAUUGAUACUGUUGUUCUUGAGUUCGGUUGAGGUAGGCGGAAUGUUGCAUGUAGCGGUGAAAUGCUUAGAUAUGCAACAGAACACCGAUUGCGAAGGCAGCUUACCAAGCCGACACUGACGCUGAGGCACGAAAGCGUGGGGAUCAAACAGGAUUAGAUACCCCAGUAGUCC